rnacentral:rRNA from 1 species
UGUGUAGGCGGUUGCUUAAGUUUGGUGUGAAAUCUCCCGGCUCAACUGGGAGGGUGCGCCGGAUACUGAGUGACUAGAGUGCGGGAGAGGAAAGUGGAAUUCCUGGUGUAGCGGUGAAAUGCGUAGAUAUCAGGAGGAACACCGGUGGUGUAGACGGCUUUCUGGACCGUAACUGACGCUGAGACACGAAAGCGUGGGUAGCAAACAGGAUUAGAUACCCUGGUAGUCCACGCCCUAAACGAUGCACAUUUGGUGUGGGUCAUUCAGUUGAUCCGUGCCGGAGCUAACGCGUUAAAUGUGCCGCCUGGGGAGUACAGUCGCAAGGCUGAA